rnacentral:rRNA from 1 species
UACAGAGGUCCCAAGCGUUGUUCGGAUUCACUGGGCGUAAAGGGUGCGUAGGUGGUGAGGUAAGUCGGAUGUGAAAUCUCGGAGCUCAACUCCGAAACUGCAUUGGAAACUACCUUGCUCGAGGAAUGGAGGGGGGACUGGAAUUCUUGGUGUAGCAGUGAAAUGCGUAGAUAUCAAGAGGAACACCAGUGGCGAAGGCGAGUCCCUGGACAUCUCCUGACACUGAGGCACGAAAGCUAGGGGAGCAAACAGG